rnacentral:lncRNA from 1 species
UCCCGGCCUCGGCCUCGGCCUCGGCCUUGGCCUCCGGGCCUCCAGCGCACGCGGGGCGUCCAGGGCCUCAUCUUCCCCUGGGGACCGCCCGGCCGUGUCCCGCUGCCCUCGGCGCAGGGGUGGGAGUUGCAGAGAGGAAGAGUCGCUAACCCGGAGUGUUUCUUAAAACUUGGCUGACCUGUGACCUGCGGAUUUGGAGGCUGAAUUCUCCGAGCACCUGAAGCUACUGCAGGAUAUAAUCUAAGAAAAUAAGGGGAAGAAAACAAGAAAGAGGAAGACAUUGGAUCCAAGAAAUGGGGGAUCUAUCACCUUACAGAUGAAAAGAGAAUCUACAUGAUCUUUGUGAAGAUAUGACCUUGGGACUUGCUUUAGCCAGUGGAAUGGAAGCAGAAGUAACCUGUAAUUUCCAGACUGGAAAUGUUCCAGAUAGUACCAGCUCUUUAAACCUGAGUCCUAGAGUAAAGAUGGCAGAGUGGAGCCUCAAGCCAACGUGUGACAGAUAUGUAAAUAGACCAAGAAAUAAAUCUUUGGGUGUUUUGAAGCACCUGAGACUCUGAGGUUGUCUGUUAUUGAAACGUAACCUAGCCUACCCUGACUGCUGCAGGUUUUCUCAAGAUUAAUGAGAUAAUAUGCAUAAGAUGUUGGACUAAUGGUAGAGCAUUUUUAUGGGUCCUUUUGCAAUAAUAUUAGGUUGGUGCAAAAGUAAUUGUGGUUUUUGCCAUUAGUUUCAGAGUUAUUAUUAAUACAAUUUAUUCAUUCAAUGCCUUCCAUAUGCCAGGCAUUUGUGUACAUUAUCACUAAUCUUCAGAAUAAAUUUGAAAUAUUAUAAAAACCUCCAUUUUAUAAGGGAGAAAAAACAAAGCUUGGAAUGGUUAGCAUUCUGCCAAAUGUCAUCCAGCUAGGAAGCUGCAGAGCUGGCUUUCAAACCUCAUGCGUUUCUCCCCUCUUUCUCUUUUUUCCUUGUCUUUGGAAGUUUAUGUCAUUGUUUUAUUUUAUUGCUAUUUACAUCAUUGUGUGAAUUCCUUUGCAACAUUUGUUUAUGAAAUUCACACUUAUUCUUGCAACAAAACCUCUAUUUUCUUAAAUUUAUUGCAAGAUGAACAGAAAUAAAUUGAGUCAAAGGUACAGUAGCUUACAAUUCAAUCCCUUGCUCCAGAAAGUUCAUGAACUCAAGCACCUUUUUCAUUUUUCUUGGCUUGAAUAUGCCUGAAAGCAGUUAAGAUAUAUGUGCUUAUGAAUGGAAAAAAAAAAGUGUUUCACAAUUGGAGUGGAGUGAGUCAGGUUAGAAUGAGCUAGAUUCCAUAAAUUCUCAAGCCCUAAUAUUUACAGAUUCUUUCUUAAUGGAUUUAUUGAGAUAUAAUUCAUAUACCAUAUGUCACCCAUUUAAAGUAUGUAAUUUAAUGACUUUUAAUAUAUUCACAGAGUUGUGUAUCCAUCAUCACAAUUGAUUAUAGAAUAUUUUCAUCAUCUCAAAAAAAAGCCUAUAUCCCUCAACCAACACUCCCAAACCUUCUCAUCACCUGACCUGUCCCCCAACCCUAGGUAGCUAAUUACUUUCUUUCCCUUUCUUUCUUCCUUUUCUUUCUUUCUUUUUUCUUUCUCUUUCUUUCUUUCCUUUCUU